rnacentral:rRNA from 1 species
CACGGAAAGGCGAAAUGAGGAGGACAUUAUCGAGUUUUGAAAGGGGUUGUAGCUGGCCUUCUUUGGCACCGUGCACGCCCUGCUCAUCCACUCUACACCUGUGCACUCACUGUAGGUUUCAAAGGUGACGCGAGUUUCGGCUCGUGGAGCUUUUGGGCUUACGUUUCACUAUAAACGCUUUAGUAUCAGAAUGUGUAUCGCGAUGUAACGCAUCUAUAUACAACUUUCAGCAACGGAUCUCUUGGCUCUCGCAUCGAUGAAGAACGCAGCGAAAUGCGAUAAGUAAUGUGAAUUGCAGAAUUCAGUGAAUCAUCGAAUCUUUGAACGCACCUUGCGCUCCUUGGUAUUCCGAGGAGCAUGCCUGUUUGAGUGUCAUGAAAUUCUCAACCUAUGAGCCUUUGCGGGUUUGUAGGAUUGGACUUGGAGGUCUGUCGGCUUGCGUCGGCUCCUCUCAAAUGCAUUAGCUCGAUUCCUUGUGGAUCGGCUCUCGGUGUGAUAGUUUUUUGCGCCGCGACCGUGAAGCGUUUGGCGAGCUUCUAAUGGUCUCUUAGGAGACAAUGAAACUGAACUCUGACCUCAAAUCAGGUAGGACUACCCGCUGAACUUAAGCAUAUCAAUA